AGCAGCCGCGGUAAUUCCAGCUCCAAUAGCGUAUAUUAAAGUUGUUGCAGUUAAAAAGCUCGUAGUUGAAUUUCGGGGUCAGUGAGUUGGUCGUGCCACUGGUAUGCACUGGCUUUACUGAUUCCUCCUUCUUGAAGAACUGUAAUGCUAUUAAUUUAGUGUUGCAGGGAAACAGGACUGUUACUUUGAAAAAAUUAGAGUGUUUAAAGCAGGCUAACGCUUGAAUACAUUAGCAUGGAAUAAUGAAAUAGGACGUUUGAUCCUAUUUUGUUGGUUUCUAGGAUUGACGUAAUGAUUAAUAGGGAUAGUUGGGGGCAUUAGUAUUCAAUUGUCAGAGGUGAAAUUCUUGGAUUUAUUGAAGACUGACUACUGCGAAAGCAUUUGCCAAGGAUGUUUUCAUUAAUCAAGAACGAAAGUUAGGGGAUCGAAGACGAUCAGAUACCGUCGUAGUCUUAACCAUAAACUAUGCCGACUAGGGAUCGGAUGAUG
rnacentral:rRNA from 1 species